AAAAGCCAUAGACACAAUGAAGGACAAUGUGCAGACAGUCUAUGGAAUGCUCAGGUGAAUUCACAAGGCAAUUGCAAACGCCUGCUGGAUACAAAGGUAACUUAGGGAACAGACAGCUUCAGUGAACACCCCAAGGACAGCCAUGAUCUCAGAUUCAGUCAUUAUCAUGUUCCCAAAAGAGAUCCAAGGCCAGCCACAAAAGGACCAAUGACUCAUGACUAAAAAGGCAUAGACAAGUUUUUCUCUGGCCCGACAGAGGAUUAAGUGCUACAGAAAAGAAGUGUACAGCCUAAAGGAGUGAAUAAGGGAUCUAAUCUACUCCAGAAUGUCAGGGGAGGCUUUGCAGAAUAUGUGCCCUUUGAACUAAGCAGCAAGCACACACACCCUCUGGCAAGUUAAAAAGAAAAACCUCCAGAGUGAAUGACAUUUUCUAAGGAAUCAUGUUGAUUGAGAAGAGCAAAAAUCUAGGCAAAGUUAAUAGAACCAGAUGUUUCAAGGUUGCAGUAC